rnacentral:rRNA from 1 species
AAUUAGCGGAGCGAAAGAACAACAGGGAUUGCCCCAGAUAACGGCGAGUGAAGCGGCAACAGCUCAGAUUUGAAAUCCGGCCCCCAGGGCCCCGAGUUGUAAUCUAGCAGGGGAUGCCCCUGGCGCGGCGCCCACCGAGUUCCCUGGAACGGGACGCCAUAGAGGGUGAGAGCCCCGUAUGGUGGGAUGCCUAGCCUCUGUGGGGCUCCUCCGACGAGUCGAGUAGUUUGGGAAUGCUGCUCUAAUCGGGAGGUAAAUCUCUUCUAAAGCUAAAUACCGGCCAGAGACCGAUAGCGCACAAGUAGAGUGAUCGAAAGAUGAAAAGCACCUUGGAAAGGGGGUUAAACAGCACGUGAAAUUGUUGAAAGGGAAGCGCCUGUGACCAGACUCGCGCCGGGCGGAUCAUCCAGCGGUCUCCGCUGGUGCACUCCGCCCGGCACGGGCCAGCAUCGGUUUCCGCGGGGGGACAAGAGCGGCGGGGACGUGGCUCCCCCGGGAGUGUUAUAGCCCGCCGCACGAUGCCCCCUCGGGGACCGAGGUACGCGCUCCGCAAGGAUGCUGGCGUAAUGGUCACCGGCGACCCGUCUUGAAACACGGACCAAGGAGUCGUCCAUUACGGCGAGCGUUUGGGCGUCAAACCCCUACGCGUAAUGAAAGUGAACGCAGGUGAGAGCUUCGGCGCAUCAUCGACCGAUCCUGAUGUUCUCGGAUGGAUUUGAGUAAGAGUCGUAACGGACGGACCCGAAAGAUGGUGAACUAUGCCUGUAUAGGGUGAAGCCAGAGGAAACUCUGGUGGAGGCUCGCAGCGGUUCUGACGUGCAAAUCGAUCGUCAAAUAUGGGCAUGGGGGCGAAAGACUAAUCGAACCAUCUAUAGCUGCGUUACCGCCGAAGUUUCCCUCAGGAUAGCAGUGUUGUAUUCAGUUUUAUGAGGUAAAGCGAAUGAUUAGGGACUCGGGGGCGCUAUAUAGCCUUCAUCCAUUCUCAAACUUUAAAUAUGUAAGAAGCCCUUGUUGCUUAGCUGAACGUGGGCAUUCGAAUGAACCAACACUAGUGGGCCAUUUUUGGUAAGCAGAACUGGCGAUGCGGGAUGAACCGAACGCGGGGUUAAGGUGCCGGAGUGGACGCUCAUCAGACACCACAAAAGGCGUUAGUACAUCUUGACAGCAGGACGGUGGCCAUGGAAGUCGGAAUCCGCUAAGGACUGUGUAACAACUCACCUGCCGAAUGUACUAGCCCUGAAAAUGGAUGGCGCUCAAGCGUCCCACCCAUACCCCGCCCUCAGGGUAGAAGCGAUGUCCCUGAGGAGUAGGCGGUCCGUGGGGGUCAGUGACGAAGCUCCAGGGCUGAGUCCCUGGUCGACGCCCU